rnacentral:snRNA from 1 species
AAGAUCUUCUGAUUGAAAGAGAG